rnacentral:snoRNA from 1 species
UGUGUGGUGAUGAGAAGCGCAGGGGUACCGAUGUCAGCUGAUGAUGAGAGCUGAGUUCUGCUGAGAGUCUGAUCAGAGGACCAGUGGUCCACUGAUGGAUGUCAGCAGGACUAGAGCCACGCCCAUCUGAACACA